UAUUACUUGGUCAUGGAGUUUGUGAUUUUUUAUUUAUUGGAAUUUGCUACACCUGUACUGCAGUACACAUAUUCUAGAAAGGGUAAAAUAGGAAACACAGAAAAGUAAUCGGGGAUAUUUAGUUGUGGAAGGGUAGUAUUGUCUUUUUUAAAUGUGUUAGCAUCAUGCUCUCACAAAUUUUGUGCUAGACUUUUCUCAGAUCACUCAAACCUCAGCAAAAAAUUACAAGACAAGAACAGGGAAACAUAAAGAGAAUUAGAAGAAGAACGAAUUUCAUUCAAUAGAUAAAUGAUUGACAAGCAAUCUAGCAUUUUGAGAAGCCAAAAUCCUUCUAACAAAAUAGAUACCCACUCACAUGCUUUCCCGGACAUUAAAUACCCAGAGUAACACUCUAUAAAUAAUAAUUACCAAAUUGCCCCUCCAUCCUCAUGGAGCAGUUGGAUCCGUUGUAAUUCAUCUUUUACCCCUCCUUGUGUAAGUAAAAUUUAGAGGAGGUCUCAUUUUGGGAAAUUGAUUCAAUACAACACAGUUUUGUUCUUCUUUCAUCGUUAAUAUUACUUUGUUAUUAUUAGAGUAUAACAGAAUUCUACUCCCAAGGUUUCUUUUCUUGUUAAAUAUGGAAGGGAAAUUUAGGUAAGUUCUUUUUCAAAACUUUGAUAAGCAAUUAGCAAAUUGUUACUUUUGGUUGGUUGGAUGACAAAUGAUUUCUUUUUACAGGUUAUAUGGUUCCUUAAUAUUUCCAACUUGGGGCGUUUCUAAUAAAACAAAUGUUCAUGCAUUUGGUAGUCCUCUUGGAGUUGAUAAAACAUGUAAGCCAAUGAAUCAUUACGACAAGCAGGAAAACAGAACAUCAUUUUCUGUGUACGUAAGCUCGUAUAAUUCUAAAAAUACUUUGCUCAACCAAAUGUAAGUGCAAUGCUAUCACAAACAGUGAACAAAAGUAACUUGCAUUUUCUUAUAUCUUUUGCUUUUUUUUUUUGCAAAGAACUUAUAAAAUCUACACAAAUAUUGCAGAUGAAACCACAAUCACAAACAAAUCCACAGGCGAAUCCGUAUGAUUGAAGUUGUACAUGCUAUAUAAACAAUGAAUAAUCAAAACAACAAAAUAAUGUCACUGCUACUGUGUGUUGAAGGUAUAAAUUUGUUGGGUUAUAAUCCAAGUAUCCGUUCAUGUAUCUGUCAUUACCCUUACCAUCAACAUCACUGAGGACGAUGACUUUGACGGUUGUGGCCACCGAUGGCAAUGCCCAACCCAAUCCCGUAACUGUUAGUGUUCCCAAGCAGGGAAAGUUUGAAGAUCUUGUUAAUGAUUUGAGAAAAAAGUGCUCUUUAGGGAAUCAUCAAACCCUCAUGGUGGCUGAGGUAUACAACAAUCAUGUUAUACGCUUUCUAGGGGACCCCACUGAAUCGUUAUCCUUAAUUAUGGAUGAUGACCGCCUUGUUGCUUAUAAGUUACAAAAAGAUUAUCAUAAAUUUUCUUAUAUUGUUUUUGUUCAUCACCAAAUAGAAAAGCGCGGGAUGCAGGAACAAGGGCUAAACAAUAUACAUUUGAGGUUAGAUUACUAAGAACAAUGGAUAAUCGUGCUUUUGAUGACUCCAAAGUCGCAUCUGCAUCUGCCAUGAAGGUAAAAUGAUUAUAUUGGUGUCUGUCUGGAAAGUAGUAGAUACUCUGAAUCCUAUGGGAUCAAAAUCAAAGACCGCUGAGUACAAAGUUGUCCCAGUAUGUAGACUGGGGGGGCAUUAAGGCUCAAUAUUCCGUAUUACAUGGUCUUUGGAUGGAUCAAAACUGGUGUCCGUCUCGGAUGAUCGCAGUGCUCGUAUCUGGGAAGUUCUUACUGGAAAAAAAGAGUCUGAUGAUGCAACAGAGGUGACUGUUUCUCCUUCCACUGGGCCUGUGCUAUUUAACCACACUGCCAGGGUUUGGGAUUGUUGUUGAUCCUGCUACAUGGCCAAUAAUGAUCUCUAGGGUCUGCUAGAAGGAUUGAAGAUUGCAGUUAAGCGUACAUCAAGACGUCACACCAAGGACUUGAUGACUUUAAGCUAGCAAUGUUUUACUUGAUUUGGACAUGAACCCUAAGAUAUCAUACUUUGGCAUGGCUAGAAGCUUUGGAGGAAACGAGACUCAAGCAAAAGCAAACACACUGAGAGUUGUUGGCACAUAGUAAGCUACAUAAUGCAAUUGUAUAUAAAUUCUGCUUCUCUUAUGUUCAUUUCUUUGAUUACAUUUACUCACUAUUGAAAUAAUUAUUUGUAUUUGACAUAUUAGUGAAAUGAAUUA